GCAUGGCGUUUCGAGGUCACAUGUGGUGCAGCAUGAUUCAGGAACAUGCCGCGCAGCAUGUGACCUUCCUACACCGUGC